rnacentral:rRNA from 1 species
CAGCAGCCACGGGAAUACGUAGGUGGCAAGCGUUGUCCGGAAUUAUUGGGCGUAAAGGGCUCGCAGGCGGUUUCUUAAGUCUGAUGUGAAAGCCCCCGGCUCAACCGGGGGGGGUCAUUGGAAACUGGGAAACUUGAGUGCAGUAGAGGAGAGUGGAAUUCCACGUGUAGCGGUGAAAUGCGUAGAGAUGUGGAGGAACACCAGUGGCGAAGGCGACUCUCUGGUCUGUAACUGACGCUGAGGAGCGAAAGCGUGGGGAGCGAACAGGAUUAGAUACCCGCGUAGUCCCUGUCUCUUAUAC